GGUUUUAAAGCCUUUUGCGUUGGGAAGAACANCUCNUCUUNAAAGGGAGGCCUUGACGGUACCUCUNNANAAAGCCCCGGCUAAAUCUGUGCCAGCACCCGCGGUAAUACAGAGGGUGCAAACGUUAUUUGGAAUUAUUGGGCGUAAAGGGCGCGUAGGCGGCCUUGUAAGUCUGUUGUGAAAACCCACGGCUCAACCCCGGAAGUGCAUUUGAAACUGCCAGUCUUGAGUAUCGGAGAGGGAAGCGGAAUUCCCGGUGUAGAGGUGAAAUUCGUAGAUAUCUGGAGGAACACCCCUGGCGAAGGCGACCUUCUGGACCAUUACUGACGCUGAGACGCGAAAGCGUGGGGAGCAAACACGAUUAGAUACCCCGGUAGUCCCCGCCCUAAAACGACUGAUGUAGCUGCAGUGGAGGCGGUAUUUGACCCCGU
rnacentral:rRNA from 1 species